rnacentral:rRNA from 1 species
AUACGUAGGUGGCAAGCGUUGUCCGGAAUUAUUGGGCGUAAAGCGCAUGUAGGCGGUUUGGUAAGUCGGUCGUGAAAAUGCGGUGCUUAACGCCGUAUGGCGAUCGAAACUGCGGAACUUGAGUGCAGGAGAGGAAAGGGGAACUCCCAGUGUAGCGGUGAAAUGCGUAGAUACUGGGAAGAACACCGGUGGCGAAGGCGCCUUUCUGGACUGUGUCUGACGCUCAGAGGCGAAAGCCAGGGUAGCGAACGGGAUUAGAUACCCCGGUAGUCCUGGCCGUAAACGAUGGGUACUAGGUGUGGGAGGUAUCGACUCCUUCCGUGCCGGAGUUAACGCAAUAAGUACCCCGCCUGGGGAGUACGGCCGCAAGGCUUAAACUCAAAUGAAUUGACGGGG